rnacentral:lncRNA from 1 species
UUGCAGAUAUCUGAGGACCUUCUUAGCUGCUUUCCAGUGAUCUAGGCCAGGAUUAGUCUGAUAACGGCCUAGCAUUCCAGCAAUAUAAGCGAUAUCUGGGCGACGUUUGAUGUGCCUUCGUUAUGAGACUUGAGCAUACAUCAGGCUCCCGACUACUGACGCGUAAGGUAUCUGGCUCAUUUGCUCCUUUUCAACCUCUGUUGUCGGACACUGGAAUGAACCGAAAACAUCUCCCUUAACUACUGGAGCGACGGAGGGUUUGCACUGUUGCAUGUUGUAACGUGUAAGGACACGAUCUAUGUAAGUCUUUUGAGACAAUCCUAAGAUCCCUUUGUGUCUAUCUCGGUGAAUUUCGAUGCCAAUGACGUAAGAAGCAUCUCCGAGAUCCUUCAUGUCGAAGUUAUGCGAGAGUAACCGCUUCGACU